AUUGAACGCUGGCGGCAUGCUUUACACAUGCAAGUCGAACGGUAACAGGCCGCAAGGUGCUGACGAGUGGCGAACGGGUGAGUAAUGCAUCGGAACGUGCCCAGUCGUGGGGGAUAACGCAGCGAAAGCUGCGCUAAUACCGCAUACGAUCUCUGGAUGAAAGCGGGGGACCGAAAGGCCUCGCGCGAUUGGAGCGGCCGAUGUCAGAUUAGGUAGUUGGUGGGGAAAAGGCCCACCAAGCCAACGAUCUGUAGCUGGUCGGAGAGGACGACCAGCCACACUGGGACUGAGACACGGCCCAGACUCCUACGGGAGGCAGCAGUGGGGAAUUUUGGACAAUGGGCGCAAGCCUGAUCCAGCAAUGCCGCGUGCAGGAAGAAGGCCUUCGGGUUGUAAACUGCUUUUGUACGGAACGAAACGGUUCGGGUUAAUACCCUGGGCUAAUGACGGUACCGUAAGAAUAAGCACCGGCUAACUACGUGCCAGCCGCCGCCGUAAUAC
rnacentral:rRNA from 1 species